rnacentral:lncRNA from 1 species
GAUAAUGAACAUGUUCAGAUUUCAAUUCAAGCCAAUGAAGAAUUGUCGUGAAUAUGGAAUUCAAGAAGAACAAUAAAUUCCAUGUCAGGUUCCAAGAACGAGUAUAUCAAGAUCUCAAUGAAUUCAAUAAACAUGAGAUUCAAGUUCGAGCCAACAAAAUAUUUAUUCUCGGAAAACAUUCAAGACAAGAUUUUGAGAAUAAAUAUAAUUCAAUAUCGAUUCAAGGAAAAUGUUCAGGCCAAGGAAUCAAGUGUAGGAAUUAGCCGUGAACAUAGCAACCAAGAGAAUUGACAAGUUCAAGAUUUCAAGAACAAGAUCAAGGUUCCAAGUUCGAGCCAAGGAAACGAAUAUGCUCGCAGAACAUUAAGGAUCAUAUUCCAAGAAAAAUAUAAUCAAUGCAUCAAAGGAUUCAAGAUGGAGAAUAUAUUUGGUUCAAACAAAGGAGAUAUUAAGCGCAGGAAAGAAAUCGGAUAAGGAGUCAUAGUUUCUCACCUGGAGUCCAACGCUAGUGCUAUAGAAGUGCUAUAGAAGCAUCUUUAAGCUUAAACCUUGAGUGAGAGCUUUACUACGCUCAACACCUAUGCAAAUAUUAGAACUAAAUAAGAUUCCGAACAGUAAUAUAGUCAUACUACCAUCCACUAUAUGACAUAGUCAAUUUCUUAAACAUAUACUAAGAAUUGAUUCUCGUGGCACUCUAUUCAAAUAAUCACUGCGAUCGUCGUACUUAUCCGAAUGACCUAAACGAUAUAUAAAGUUAAAGAUAACAUCUGUAUCUACAAUUUUACUAAAGACUUUAAUCCCAAAUUAACAACAUAACCCGUCAAUAAUAACCCCGAAAGAUGAGUACAUAAACCUGCCAGAUUUUUUGGAUAAUUUCGUUUGCUGUCACAGUUUCUUUGGAAAAUCAUAACAAAUCGUACGGUUAUCCAAAUUGUCCAAAUAAUACAUCAAAUGAAACCUGACAACUUAAUCUACAAGUUUCAUCCAGACGCACAGCCCAAAUUAUGAUCCCAACAUAUCGAAAACAGUCCCGCAAGAAGAUACUCAAAACUGCCCUGUUUCCGGCAGAUUACUGUCAUCGGAUUCCGACCUCUAAAACACGUAUAUUAAAUACUCUAAUUCGAUAUGAUUGAACACUUACUUACAGUUUACGAUGUCCUCUACGAGUUUCCUGAAGGAACCGAUUCCAAAUUCGCAUUCGAAACCCUUCGAUUUCGGCUCCGAAAACAGGUGCGGCAGCAGAUUUCAUUAUAGAUCCAGCGAGCAGGCUGAACUUCUCGCCCAAUUCCGGCAACCACCGCCGAUUAAUACUACCGAGCUCCAACACCAAUCGAAAGCUAACAUCUCAAGGUUUCUAACCGUGUGUCCUGAUCGUCAAUAUUCAACCUUUAAGGCCUCCGAGCAAUUAAUUCUUCAAAGGACCAAAAGCUGAAAUUCAACUCUGGACAGCUCGUCUUCUUCGACCCAUUCCGACCACCACCACCGAUGUGAAGCUGACCUCUUAUGGUUUAUACUAGUGCCUCCGGAUUCUCAAAACUCUGUUCAUAAAACGUUGCGGCACUUCCUUUGAAGAAUCAAUUCGGGCUUUCAUCUUUCACCUCUCAAUUCUUCAACCUAAACUUGAUUACACCAAACCCUCACUUGGAAACUCGAUAAUUCCGAUUAAUUUAGGUGAUUCCAGCCAAGACUCCGCUAGAGAGAAUGGCGGAGAUAGACGUGAGCAAGAGAGAGAGAAAAGAGGAAGAUAGAGAGAAAGAGAGAGACGGUGAGGUAGAGAGACGGUGAUGGAGAGAGAAGAGAAACGUGGCUGCCAUAGAAGGAAUUAGAAUAGGCGAAGUACACGUCAAUCCCUA